CCGCGGCAACCACAGGCGCACGGCUGAGGACAGGUAGAUCCGCAGGCCGCAGGUCCCGCAGGUAGGAUCCUCAGCUUUGCACGCUCUCUCGCGGGGAGCCUAGUUUCUUGGCAUUCCAUUUCCUCGCCAGGUACCAGUCUUGAGUCACCAUCCGUGGAGUGCGUCGGCCCGCCGCGUCCUAACUCCUUCCCCCGCUCGCCGCGCCGGUCAUUCCCCCUGUGCGUUGUGUGUGUGCCCCGACAAGUGCUUCUAACCGGUCCCCUAUGCGUUACUGACUCCCGAAAUCAAGUGUGCUUUUGACAAUGUGUGUGUGUUUUCGUUUCUAAGGGAUUAAACUAACUCUCAUCACAGAAAUACAGCGCGCAUCCAAAGUGAUGGUGAUACGAAACUGGGCGACCAUAUCGGUCGUCAUAGCAACCUGCUUUUUAGCGCAGGCCUCGCCUCAGGUAAGGCAUCUCUUAUAAUUCAUUAUUAUUUUCUCAGAGAUCCCGCCGAAACAUAUUUCACUCUCCUCCAAAAUUUUGCCACGGUUUUAAUUAAACCUUCAAUCGGCAAAUCAUUGAAGAACGCCAUUGGCGUGAAAAAUAUUCGAUCGACUUCAUUUUGGUCUGUAGUGUUUUUAAUCAUCAUCGUUCAUUAAGGGGCCCCAUCGAGGGUAAAAAUUGACGGUAAACCAAAUGUGAAAGUUUUACUGACAUAAUUCCACUACACCUCCGUAUUGAUUUGGGAAAACACUCCUCAAUCUUUAAUAUUUAUUGGUUUUUGUCCACACAAAUAAUGCUGUCUGCCGUUGACCCUAAUAUUUGAUCAGGAGAUCACGAUUACCUGCCUAAAAUGUGUAAAAAGACCUGCGAAUUUUUAAAAACGAGCGGUAUAUCCCUUCGUUACUUCUCUCUAAAAAGUAGUAUACAAAAUACACAUGUAUCCUCGAGGGUGCAUGGUAUGCUUCAAUUUUCAUUUUUUUUAUCAAUGUAAGUCGAAGCGACCAGUCUCUUUGAUUCAAAUAAAAGAAUAAUACUUUCGUUUUCUUUUUGGGGUUUUGAUGGAUUUGCAACUCUUAAUUGAUGAAACCGACAAAUCUUUGUACCUCCGUUAUAGCUAACUGAUCAAUUUUUCCAGUUCUUUUGAUGUCCUAUCUCUGGCCUGAUUACCAUUAAACCGCAGGUGGACAUUCAAUAGCAUCUAUGAAUGCUGGCGUUGGUGGAGUCGCUCUAAUAGUCUCUAUUGCAAUGUUACCUUGGCACAUUUAGAUAGGAGAAAGAACAAAUGAUACAAGCAUAUGUUCUAGUGUUUGAACAAUCGAAUCUGUUGCACUUAAAAAGAUCAUGACUUUAUGUUGCCUAUCAGAUCGUCGAAAACUGUAUUAACUUAGUUUUUGUCUCCGAAGCAAUCAGCACAUGGAUAUAUAAAUGAACCUUGUUUUAGGACUGGAAUCUUUAGAUUAAGUUAGAAAAGAGGUCUCCAAAUUGUCCAACUGUAUGGAAAAUCAUUCCAACCGAUGAACUUCAGUUCACUCAAGGAAAUCUAUUCGUAGAUUCAAGAUUGAAACUUCAUCAGAGUAAUUUCGCAGUUGGACAACUUAGCGGUCUGUUCUUACACCCACUCCGUUUUUUUAAAUUUUAUUUUCUUAAUCAUCAAAGUUAAUUAAUACGAACAUAGACAUCAUUUAAAAGGAAUUUUACGAAAAACAGUUGUCUCUUUGACGACACAAGAAUAAAACUCACAAUUUUUUGAUAAGUUUACUUUUCUUGCCCCGCGUUAAAGUCUCCAAGAAUAGGAA
rnacentral:lncRNA from 1 species